rnacentral:misc_RNA from 1 species
UCCGUUUUGUCAACGGCAGUCCCAUUAGAGUGCUCUUGCGUAGCAACUAAUAGUAAGGGUUGCGCUCGUUGCGGGACUUAACCCAACAUCUCACGACACGAGCUGACGACAACCAUGCACCACCUGUCUUCCUGCCCCGAAGGGCUUCACCUAUCUCUAGGCUAUGCAGGAGAUGUCAAGACCUGGUAAGGUUCUUCGCGUUGCUUCGAAUUAAACCACAUAAUCCACUGCUUGUGCGGGCCCCCGUCAAUUCCUUUGAGUUUCAACCUUGCGGCCGUACUCCCCAGGUGGAUUACUUAUUGUGUUAACUCCGGCACGGAACGGGUCAGACCGCCCCACACCUAGUAAUCAUCGUUUACAGCGUGGACUAC